ACAAUAUUGAAGAAAUGACACUCUGCUACAAUGUAAAGUAGUAAGUGUACAGCCUGUAUAACAGUGUAAAUGUGCUGUCCGCUCAAAAUAACUCAAUACACAGCCAUUAAUGUCUAAACCAUUGGCAACAAAAGGGAGUACACCCCGAAGUGGAAAUGUCCAAAUUGGGCAGAAUUAGCCAUUUUCCCUUCCUGGUGUCCUGUGACUCGUUAGUGGUACAAGGUCUCAGGUGUGAAUGGGGAGCAGGUGUGUUAAAUUUGGAGUUAUCGCUCUCACACUCUCUCAUACUGGUCACUGGAAGUUCAACUUGGCACCUCAUGGCAAAGAAUUCUCUGACGAUCCGAAAAAAAAGAAUUGCUAAAAACGGCUUAGGCCAGGCAUAAGCAACCUUCGGCACUGCAGAUGUUGUGGACUACAUCUCCCAUAAUAAAUACC